UUGGCCGAAGAUGGCGACGCCCAUAUUGGGGCAGUAAAGAACAGCUAAGCAUCUACCACUAAAAAUAUAAAGAUAGUACAAGCUCAUAAGAGCCAAUAAAAUUUCGGGUCCGCCAUGUUUAUAUAUAUCUCCCUCCUACAGUCACUCCCUCCAUUGUUUUCGUCCCUAGCUAUGAGCUGAUCUCUCUCUCUCUCUCUCUCUCUCCCUGAUCUCUCUCUGAGGACUUGAACUUAGAGACAGAUCUCGGACUUAUAUGCUUCCUUCUCCUCCGUUUUUCGCUCAGUUUUAUUGCUUAUAUUUAUUUGUUUCCCUUCCCCCAUCCCCAUAUGUAUGUGUUUCUUUAAUUGAACUCCAUCGGGCUCGGCUUCUCACUUUUGUUUUUUUGUUUUUUUUCCCUUCAUUUUAUGAAUUUUUUUUCCUCUUUUGGUCUCCUCUUUGUAAUCUGGCAUGCAAAGUUAUAAUACCACUUCUUUCCUGAGCCGGAAUCUUACUCGGUUCGCUUUUAAACUGUUGUUCUCGCCGGAAUCUAAUCGGAAAAAUCUGAUCAACAUAUGAUUUGAAAGUUUUUAUUUAUUGGAUAUUGCUGGUUCCAGUCUUAUGUUUGUCUGGCAUCAUAAAUACAAGUAAACAUAAAUUAUUUUUUUCUUUGGGUUCAAAACAUAAUGAAUAGGGUUUUGUUUUAUUCCAAGAGGUCCUUAUUCGAUAAUUGAAAGUAUUGUUUCUAUGGUAGAGUUAGAAACUGUAGAUUCUUCUCGGGGUACCCCUCAAGUAGUUCUUUAUGUUCCAGCCACUGGUAAUCCGACACCUCAUCUUAUGCCCGUGGCCUUGGGCUAAGUUGUACGGGAAAUGUCAUAUUUUGUCCUUUUCUUUUCCUUUUUUUGCUUUCUUUCUUGCUUUGUUUCUGCUUUUCAUGACGAGGUCUUCCUAUGGAAAUAUUUUGGAUGUACUUCUGCUUCUUUUCUUGAUAUAAAAGUCCACAUUUUCGGUUAAUUAGGAUUUGUGCAUGAUGAUAGAUUGACAGUCAGUUGUUUGCGGGUGUUGCAUCUUCAAGAUUCACAUGGGAAAGCACGGUUGAUGAUGCAAAAUCUCUCUGCCAAAGCUCUUUGAAAUUGAGAAUCUUGAUGAUGCUGCAUCGGCAAGAAACGACUAUACAAAAGUGGAUUUUCUCCCGCCAAUCAGAUCGAGCUGCCAUUCAACAGAUCUGUGAAUAUUCUUCUGCACAAAAUUUGUUAAGGUGGGAAAUAGCAUCUUUUCAGGUGCUUCUUGCUGGAGAUGUAGAUGGGGUUUUAUUAUUUUAUUACUGGAAAUUAAGAGAAAGAGAAUGUUGAUGAUGCUAGCUGCAUGAGCUUUAAAAUAUAUAUUCUGGAAAGAUCGAAAGGCAAAGAAACAUGAGUUUAAAGGUGAAAUGUUGAACUAAUUGCUUGAGUUCGAUCUACGAAUGGCUUGGCAAAUGUGAACAGAAACUGAGAUGAAAGUGAAAUACUUUGGUCCACCGAUUUUCAGAGUACUAUUAGUGAGGAGAAUCGAAGAAAUCAUACUGAGUGUAGUACGUCUUGAUGAUCUCCAGACAUCCCAGCUGCUCAUAAGAAAGUGCCGCAUGCAAAUAUUAUGUUCAGACUGCAUAAGACCGGCCAUUUGCCAAUUUGUGUGUUUUUUGGAAGUGAUACUUUACUGCAGAUUCAGGCCAGUUUAGUACUUUAUAAUUCACUGCAUCCACUACUAUAGUUAGUCGUUAAAUAUCAUAAUGUACGUAUUAACAAAUACAAACAGCAUUCAUUAGGCCAGCGCGCAUAAGUUUGCAUGCAUCAAGUGCAUGUUUUGAUGGAAAAUUUUAAAAAAUGUUAAAGAACCCACUUAUAUUGUUUA